GAUCAAGCGAAUAAGUGCAUGUGGUGGAUGCCUUGGCGAUUACAGGCGAUGAAGGGCGUGGUAGCCUGCGAAAAGCUCCGGGGAGCUGGCAAACAAGCUUUGAUCCGGAGAUGUCCGAAUGGGGAAACCCGGCCCGCAAGGGUCAACCUUGGCUGAAUACAUAGGCCAAGCGUGGCGAACCUGGUGAACUGAAACAUCUAAGUAGCCAGAGGAAAAGAAAUCAACCGAGAUUCCCAGAGUAGUGGCGAGCGAAAUGGGAGCAGCCUCCAACUUUUAGCAUUCGAAUUAGCUGAACCGUCUGGAAAGUCGGGCCAUAGCGGGUGAUAGCCCCGUAGGCGAAAAUUCGAGAUCCUGUCUGAACAUGGGGGGACCAUCCUCCAAGGCUAAAUACUCGUAGUCGACCGAUAGUGAACCAGUACCGUGAGGGAAAGGCGAAAAGAACCCCGGGAGGGGAGUGAAAUAGAUCCUGAAACCGCAUGCAUACAAACAGUGGGAGCGGACUUGUUCCGUGACUGCGUACCUUUUGUAUAAUGGGUCAGCGACUUACAUUCAGUAGCAAGCUUAACCGAAUAGGGGAAGCGCAGCGAAAGCGAGUCUUAAUAGGGCGUUUAGUUGCUGGGUGUAGACCCGAAACCAGAUGAUCUACUCAUGGCCAGGAUGAAGCGGGGGUAACACCUCGUGGAGGUCCGAACCCACUAAUGUUGAAAAAUUAGGGGAUGAGCUGUGGGUAGGGGUGAAAGGCUAAACAAAUCUGGAAAUAGCUGGUUCUCUCCGAAAACUAUUUAGGUAGUGCCUCACGUAUCACCUUCGGGGGUAGAGCACUGUUAUGGCUAGGGGGCCGUUUAGGCCUACCAAACCAUGGCAAACUCCGAAUACCGAAGAGUGCGAGCGUGGGAGACAGACAUCGGGUGCUAACGUCCGGUGUCGAAAGGGAAACAACCCAGACCCUCAGCUAAGGUCCCAAAGACACAGUUAAGUGGCAAACGAAGUGGGAAGGCUAAAACAGUCAGGAGGUUGGCUUAGAAGCAGCCAUCCUUUAAAGAAAGCGUAAUAGCUCACUGAUCGAGUCGUCCUGCGCGGAAGAUGUAACGGGGCUCAAACUGUGCACCGAAGCUAGGGAUUUACACGCAAGUGUAGAUGGUAGGAGAGCGUUCCGUAGGCCUGCGAAGGUGGCUUGAGAAGGCUGCUGGAGGUAUCGGAAGUGCGAAUGCUGACAUGAGUAGCGAUAAAGGGAGUGAAAGGCUCCCUCGCCGUAAGCCCAAGGUUUCCUGCGCAACGUUCAUCGGCGCAGGGUGAGUCGGCCCCUAAGGUGAGGCAGAAAUGCGUAGCUGAUGGGAAACUGGUUAAUAUUCCAGUACCUUUGUUCAAUGCGAUGUGGGGACGGAGAAGGUUAGCUCGGCCGGGUGUUGGAUGUCCCGGUUGAAGCGUGUAGACGUGCUGCCCAGGCAAAUCCGGGCGGCUUAGUUGAGGCGUGAUAACGAAACGCCCUUCGGGGCGCCAAGUGAGUGAUACCCUGCUUCCAGGAAAAGCCACUAAGCUUCAGUUGAAUGAGGACCGUACCGCAAACCGACACAGGUGGGCGGGAUGAAAAUUCCAAGGCGCUUGAGAGAACUCAGGAGAAGGAACUCGGCAAAUUGACACCGUAACUUCGGGAUAAGGUGUGCCCCCGGUACGUGUAGCACCUCGCGUGUGAAGCGGAUGGGGGUUGCAAAGAAAUGGUGGCUGCGACUGUUUAAUAAAAACACAGCACUCUGCAAACACGAAAGUGGACGUAUAGAGUGUGACGCCUGCCCGGUGCCGGAAGGUUAAGUGAUGGGGUGCAAGCUCUUGAUCGAAGCCCCGGUAAACGGCGGCCGUAACUAUAACGGUCCUAAGGUAGCGAAAUUCCUUGUCGGGUAAGUUCCGACCUGCACGAAUGGCGUAACGA
rnacentral:rRNA from 1 species